rnacentral:rRNA from 1 species
AGAGUUUGAUCCUGGCUCAGAUUGAACGCUGGCGGUAGGCCUAACACAUGCAAGUCGAGCGGUAACAGGAAGUAGCUUGCUACUUUGCUGACGAGCGGCGGACGGGUGAGUAAUGCUUGGGAACUUGCCUUUGGGAGGGGGAUAACCACUGGAAACGGUGGCUAAUACCGCAUAAUGCUUUCGAGCCAAAGCGGGGGAUCUUCGGACCUCGCGCCAUUAGAUGAGCCCAAGCAAGAUUAGGUAGUUGGUGGGGUAAAGGCCUACCAAGCCGACGAUCUUUAGCUGGUCUGAGAGGAUGAUCAGCCACACUGGGACUGAGACACGGCCCAGACUCCUACGGGAGGCAGCAGUGGGGAAUAUUGGACAAUGGGCGCAAGCCUGAUCCAGCCAUGCCGCGUGUGUGAAGAAGGCCUUCGGGUUGUAAAGCACUUUCAGUGGUGAGGAAGGCCUAAUAGUUAAUAGCUAUUAGGAUUGACGCUAGCCACAGAAGAAGCACCGGCUAACUCCGUGCCAGCAGCCGCGGUAAUACGGAGGGUGCGAGCGUUAAUCGGAAUUACUGGGCGUAAAGCGCACGUAGGCGGUUUGUUAAGCUAGAUGUGAAAGCCCCGGGCUUAACCUGGGAAUUGCAUUUAGAACUGGCAGGCUAGAGUUUUGAAGAGGGUGGUAGAGUUUCCAGUGUAGCGGUGAAAUGCGUAGAUAUUGGAAGGAAUAUCAGUGGCGAAGGCGGCCACCUGGUCAAAAACUGACGCUGAGGAGCGAAAGCGUGGGGAGCAAACAGGAUUAGAUACCCUGGUAGUCCACGCUGUAAACGAUGUCGACUAGUUGUUCGUGUCAUAAACGAUGUGAGUAACGCAGCUAACGCACUAAGUCGACCGCCUGGGGAGUACGGCCGCAAGGUUAAAACUCAAAUGAAUUGACGGGGGCCCGCACAAGCGGUGGAGCAUGUGGUUUAAUUCGAUGCAACGCGAAGAACCUUACCAUCCCUUGACAUCCAGUGAAUCUUCUAGAGAUAGAGGAGUGCCUUCGGGAGCACUGAGACAGGUGCUGCAUGGCUGUCGUCAGCUCGUGUUGUGAGAUGUUGGGUUAAGUCCCGCAACGAGCGCAACCC